rnacentral:rRNA from 1 species
GGGGAAUAUUGGACAAUGGGCGAAAGCCUGAUCCAGCGACGCCGCGUGAGUGAUGAAGGCCUUCGGGUUGUAAAGCUCUGUGGGGAGGGACGAAAACGUCAUGGGCGAAUAGGCCAUGGCCUUGACGGUACCU